UUGUUAGCUGGGUACUAGGUAGGUAUAGUGAGGAAGAGGUGAGGUUGAUAGCACCUUGCUACUUGGGUAACCGUGGUAAUUCUAGAGCUAAUACAUGCCAAAAAUCCCGACUUCGGAAGGGAUGUGUUUAUUAGAUUCAAAACCAAUGCCCCCUGGGCUCACUGGUGAUUCAUGAUAACCGCUCGAAUCGCACGGCCUUGCGCUGGCGAUGGUUCAUUCAAAUUUCUUCCCUAUCAACUUUCGAUGUUUGGGUAGUGGCCAAACAUGGUUGCAACGGGUAACGGAGGGUUAGGGCUCGACCCCGGAGAAGGAGCCUGAGAAACGGCUACUACAUCCAAGGAGCGC
rnacentral:ncRNA from 1 species